rnacentral:rRNA from 1 species
GAUGAACGCUGGCGGCGUGCCUAAUACAUGCCAGUCGAGCGAACAGACGAGGAGCUUGCUCCUCUGACGUUAGCGGCGGACGGGUGAGUAACACGUGGAUAACCUACCUAUAAGACUGGGAUAACUUCGGGAAACCGGAGCUAAUACCGGAUAAUAUAUUGAACCGCAUGGUUCAAUAGUGAAAGACGGUUUUGCUGUCACUUAUAGAUGGAUCCGCGCCGCAUUAGCUAGUUGGUAAGGUAACGGCUUACCAAGGCAACGAUGCGUAGCCGACCUGAGAGGGUGAUCGGCCACACUGGAACUGAGACACGGUCCAGACUCCUACGGGAGGCAGCAGUAGGGAAUCUUCCGCAAUGGGCGAAAGCCUGACGGAGCAACGCCGCGUGAGUGAUGAAGGUCUUCUGAUCGUAAAACUCUGUUAUUAGGGAAGAACAAAUGUGUAAGUAACUAUGCACGUCUUGACGGUACCUAAUCAGAAAGCCACGGCUAACUACGUG